AACGCAUAUUGCGCCCUUUUCCGAAGGGCAUGUCUGUUUGAGGGCACCAUUUAACAAAUAAUGUGCGGGUUGCGUGUCAUGCGCGACUGCGUACACGUUGAUGAGCUUUUCCGGAAAACUUCGGUUUUCUGGUGGCGCGUAAUGAACAGCGCGGACUUUUUUCUUCGAUUCGAAUGUAGUAAGUAAAAUUCGACAUUUGGGUUGUUCAAAAGAGCUGCGCACUGGGUGUGGCGCUGUAACCCCAAUGCCACUCUUUCCCUCUGGAAAGAAAAAUCAAAUUCAGGGCCUCAAAUCAGACAAGAGUACCCGCUGAACUUAA
rnacentral:misc_RNA from 1 species